rnacentral:lncRNA from 1 species
AAACUUAAACUUACCUUAGUUGUACCACUUCUUUAUGUGUACAUGUCUUUGCCCCAACAAAAUGAAAUCAUCAAUUUUGUUAAAAUACAUUCCAUGUAUGUUUUCCAAAAAUUAUGUGGACAAAGAAGUUAACAAACCUUAAAAGUAUAAGGUAGAUCAGGCAAAUCUUAUGAGAUGGUGCAAAAACUUCAAAAAAAAAAAUUAUCACAAAUAAAAAGAAACUUAUCUAAAUACUUACCAAUUUGGC